AGAAAAGGAAAAAUAUAAUAUGAUGCAGAAUUGGAAAUAUUUAUUGAUAAUUCAACAAAAAGUGACUUUUCAAGGAACUAUUUUUUGUUGCACAAUGAUAUAAAUUUGUUUAUCAAGGAGUAAUAGGGUCAUUCAGAGUCAUCGCUGUAGAUCACACGGACGCGUUUUGGGGGUCUCUGAGGUUGUGAAUCGUAAUUGUUGAUAUUGAUGGUGCAGUUCAUCAUUCUCGCGUUUGAAAAUAAUUCUCUAGCGGAUGUUGACUGAAGGAAUGAAGAAUUUGCCGAGAUUGUCGACAUCGAAGUUGUGGAAAUGGCGGGUGGCGGAUUCGAAGCUAGCUGGUAAAUUAGCACGUUCAGCCAUAUCCCGCAUAAUUGAGCGCAGUGUAUUUUCGCCAAGGGGCUGGUUUUUAUACCAAAUUGGAGAUCCAUGAGGUCGUUUGUGGUUAAUUGCAAUAUAAAACGGACUUUCAGGAGUCAUGGUAGAGGGCGGCCUGUGGUCUCUAAAAGCCUUAUAUGCAGUUACUGGGCAGCUCAUAGGAUCUUCUGGAUUUGAAUACUGUUUCGGACGGAAAGCUCUAAGAUGAGUAUUUUCACCAGUUCUUGUUUUUGUUUCCCGUUCUCUAAAUUCUAGGUAUUCCCUUCCAUUUUCAUCCUGUAAGAGCUGGAUAUCAGACCAUCUAAGUUUGUGAUUUUCAGUACCCCCUCUGAUUCCAAACAUCACGGUGUUCUGUAACCACAUUUUGUUUAGUAAUGCCUUCGGGCUAUUUAAACCAAUGCAGCCCUUCUCUUGUAGCAACUUUUCCUCACCUUUUGUUAGUGGUUCUGCUGAAUUUGGAUUACCUCCCUUGCCCUUCUGUUUUAAUUCCUUUCGUUUAGAUACAAGAACAGUUCUACUUGUCAUAAAUUCCUUAUCGGAUACUAAACUAAAUGGGUAUUUUUUUUCCCGUAGGUACCUGUCAAUAGAUCUGUGAUAACUGGUCAAGGUAUCAGGCUCAUAGUCUGAACCAUCUGCCUUUCGGAUGGAGAGAAGAAAAGAGCCUAAGUAGUUAUCCAGCUCGCUAGGAUCAAUCCUAUUGAUGUCACGUUUUUCCUUCCUUGGAUCUUGCUGAAGCCAUGCUUUGAACUGUUUUACAGCUGAUUCCGUCUUUCUUACUGUGUUUUUAUUUUUCAUUUGUUGUACAAAUUCAUUUUUUGUCUGUUCAUUUACUUCAAUAAACGUUGGCAUAUUUU